CCUAACCUGCUGUGUUCGUGAUGUCGCGCCGGGUUUUGAGCCAACACCCCAUUAUGGGGAGUCGGGUUCUGGAAGUAAGGUGAUAGGCUCGCGUAGCCAAGACCCCAGUGCCAGCAAGACUCCCACCUGCGAAAGCAGGUUCAAAACAUCGCAACACACGGCAUGGCAGGAGUUUU
rnacentral:other from 1 species